CAUGAGCCACCAUGCCCAGCCCCAAAAGUAUCUUUUUGGUUUUUGAUUUUUUUUUUUUACCUUUUUUCCUACACUUGGUAAUCAGGAAGUAAAAGGUGUCUUUUUGACUGUCGACUUUUUGACUGCCAUAGCCUUAGUCUAAAUGAACAGACAACACUGAGAAAUGGAAAGGGUCAAAGGGGAGGCCUAUUUUGGCCAGAAAGAGUGAAGCAGAGUCAAAGGGGAAGAAAAGACAGGGAAGAGGCCCAGGAUGGAUGGUGAGAAGUGAAUUUCACCAACCUCGACACCUCGCAUAGGGAGCCCCAAUCUGCUUGUCUCCUAAUCUAAGAGUAAAAAGGAGGAGAUGUCAAGAAGGAAAUAAAGGAGGAAGAAAAAGAAUCACCUGUUGAGCAGUUACUGGAUGACAGACACUGCAUGGGAUGCUUUCACAUGUUGUUUUAUUGAGAUAUGCCAAUGCAAAAAGAAAGAAUUCUAUGCAUGGGGAAAAGACUAAAAGGAAAUACAUCAAAAUCCUAACAGUAAGGGUGUCAGAUUACAAGAGCCCCUUUUUCCAUUCUCCAUAAUUUUUAACCAUAAAUAUAAUAUGGUGUAUUAACAUUAUAAUACAAAUUAAACUAAAAUUUAAGGUGGAUUUAUGGGUACAAAUCCACCCACCCUAGAAUAUAGAAAGUAAACUACUAUAAAUUAAGCCAAACUAUACACUGAAUAUUUAAACAGAAAAGGAAAAUGUAGCCAUUUCAAAUGUAUAUAAUAUGUAACUAUGCAAUUAUAAACCCAGAAAGAGAACAUGAAAGAAACUACACAGGUGAUAUGGACCACAGAUUGAUUAAGAACAGAAAUGUGAAAUUGUUAGGAAUGUUAUAAAUCAUUUUCUCUCCAUAUUAUAAACUACCAAGAUGUUCUCUGUGUGUGUGGCCUAUAAAACUAUAAAAUAUACUAAAAGUCCUCUCUUCUAUAAAAACAUUUAGACUUUUACCUGUUACAUACUUUUCCACAUUCACUGCAUUAUUUUCUUUCUUUUAGGUGUGUACAACUCUCAUAUUUAAAUAAUCCCCCCCUUUUUUUUUGGUCUUUUAGAGCAUUUCAAAGAUAACAGGUAUUUUUUUUUUAAUAAAUGAAAUAUGUCAUUAUAGGCCGCUCGUAUUCUAAGCAGUCUGAAUCCCCAAUUAAUCUCUUCCAAAUAUGCAUAUUUAGUUUUCAUUCUGCUCAAAAAUGAAACCCUAACCUAAAUACUCCAAGUGAAAUUUCAGGGGAAAAAUACUGUUCAAAAACCUAGAUAAUGCAUUCCUUUGUUGAUGCUAAAUAUAGUCAUCUCAAGAUGACAUACAUUUUGACAAUGAUCAGCCUUACAUGUCAAAUUUUCAAAAAUAGCACAAAUUCCAUUUUAAGAUGAGCAGGAAAAAUUGCUAUUCAUUACAUUUCAAUCGAAAAUGGAUUUUAAAGUAUAAAUCUUCUAUUAAAACUGGAUUACAUUAUAACUAUAAUGAGGAAAACUGGAUUUAAAAUAAUUUUGUUGUGGUUUUAGCUUAGAAUUCUUUGAGGGAAUUGUUGCAGAUAAACUACAUAAUUGCAUGCAUUUUUCUUUAAAUUGUCCCUCAGAAGUAUUAGUCAAAAUAUAAAAUAUCUGCAAAAAUACGGUGUUAAUUGCUGGAAGGAAGAAGAAACUUAAACAGCUACAUUGGUUAGUCAAAGUUUACUUAUACAAAUUAUACCUCCCCCCAAAAAAACCUUUCUCUCAUUUGAUUAAUUAUGCAGUUUUUCUUAACAAUACUCCAAACUCAAAAGAAUUCGAGACAGUUUUCUUACUGCAUCAAUUUAACCUGUAAAAGGAUAAUAGAGGGGGAAAUUAUGUGGUCCACUCAAUAACAUGUGACUAAGAUGGUAUAAAUACUUAAGUUUAUUUUAUCACAUUACCUAAGACAUAGUUAUGUUGUGACUCGCAGGCCAAUGGGCCGCUGCUACAUGAAUUCAUUAAUAAAAUUUAACGAUGAAUGAUGUUCCUGUUGCUUUGGUCAGGGAACUGAUUUCUUUAUUAUGGCUUCUUUUCUCUACCUGUGUCUUUACCAAGGACAUUUUGUUAGGACUUAUCCUUAUGCUAUUUUUACCUUGUUAUCUCUCUGCCAACUUCGUUCACGUUGUGCUUUAAUAACUAUAAAAUGAGUAUCUCUAAGUCAUUGCAGUAACCAACUAUAACCUCUCAACUUCGUCAUUUUCUUUAUAAAUGCCAAUGCUAAUGCAUUUGUAGAACGUUUCACAGUUUACAAACAGCUGGAAUGGUUUGGCUUUUUCAAAAGCAUAUAAGCAAGGGGAAUUCUCAAGAGGUGACUACACUCUUCACUCACGUAAACUACGUAAACUUCGUAAACUUCCAGCCCUAGUUGCCCAACCCCCAGCAUCCCACCGCGGGGAGAAUCACGAAAAAAAAAAAAACGCGUUGGAGACAGGAGUAGGGGGAUAUGCGGGGGUGUCGGGGGAGUAAUAGGCUGUUAAAUCGUAUUUCUUCCCAUCUUCCACAGGGACUGAUCAGAAAGAAUUUCUUAACUGGCACUGCUGGCAGAGACGGAGACCGCGGCGGGGGCACGUGGUGGACGGCACCGAACUUCCCUAAGGACCCCAAGAGUUCAGCCGAGGGACCGGCACCUACUCGGCUCACAGAGGGCUCCCUCCCUACAGUACGGAACGCACCUGAAACUCAGCCGACAAGGCGCAGGGGAGCAGGGCAAAGACAUCGCAACUAGAAGCCCGAGGUCGGCUGAGGCUUUCAGACACUGGGGCAGCCCCUGUUCGGCACCCCGCCUAGCCCGCAGGACGCGGCUCGGAGGCCGGGUUCGCCCGGGCCGGGGCCAGUGCGGAGCCACAGCUGUAUGGCGCCCGGCGCACUCCCGUGCUGCAGCGGAGCAUCGCCAGAAGCCGCGGACCCCGAGCGCCUCUCUGCAGCCGCUGCAGCCGCCGCUCCCGCCCCCGCCAGGGGACCCUACACCUCAGUCUCCACUCCCCGUAGCCCACGUUCCCCAACUCUUCUCACCCUCCAGGAGCCGGUGACCCGCGAAGGUCCUUCUUUUCGCGCGGAGGGACUGUGCGCGUCCUGCCUAGCUGUGGGUAAGGGUCUGGGAGCUCUGGCCGUUACACUUCUGCUCCAGCCGCUGGGAGUCCUCUGGCUGCCGCUGCCGCCGCCGCCGCCGCCGCCGCCGUCUCCAGCAGCAAGUUUCCAUAAAAGUCCUGGUGCGCAGCCUGUUCCCGCAUUCCAGGCGGGCCCAGCGCCGGCUGCAGCUGUUCCAAAACACAAGGCCAGUUCCCCCAACCCCCACCUCCGCCGGAUCACCCGGAGGGGGGUGGAGAGUCGAGGAGAAAAGCAGGGGACGGGGAGCGUGGCUGCAACUUUCCGCCAGAAUUUGUCUGUCUCCCGGCCCUAGGUGCGCGGGCUGACCCCCUAACCUUGGGCCUGCCUCCACCUCCAGCCUGGGGAAGGAAGGCUGCCUCUGCCACGGGAAAGGAAUGAGGCUGAAAUGGGCUUCAUUACCGGUCUGGAGCUGGCUCCCCCUACCCGCAACCCGUUUGCUGUGGGGCCCACUUCUCUCAGCUACUCUACCCGUCCUAGUUUCCAGUCAAGAAGCCAAGCCACUACAUUAUCUUCUACUACCCUAAGCAUUGACCUUUGGCCACGUUUUCCUUUAUUACAAAGAGCGUGGGGCAGCGAUCCGGGAACACUUCAUCUGUCUAUUGCUCCCCUUUUCUUAGCUCCAGUCUUUAACUCUGAAAGGAGAGUUAAAAGGAAGAAGAAAGAAGAGAAGGAGGAGAUCAAUUGAAGGCAGAGGAGGAGGAGAAGAAAAAAAGGAAUAUAUUUAUAUAAGUACAAAUAUAUUUAUAUUCCACCUUUUUGUUAAUUGAAGGCAAACCAUGUCUGGUCUUCCUAAAGCUUCAUAAAGGCAUCUUUGACUAUUAGGCACCCACAGACCUUUUUCAACUUGGACCGCCAGCCUGUCAAAUCCAUUAGACAAUCCCAUAUUAAAACCCGAAAUGCACACUCAGA